ACACGCCGGCAGAGGGCAUCGUCAGUCACCGGGCGUCUCACCACGGCGCACCUCGGGCCUGAGCCCGACAGUGGGCACAAGGGGCAGGGAGUGGGAGCGGAAGGCCCUGCACUACAGCCUUCGGAGAGCGUCACUGGGUAGGUGUGGGCUGCAGGCUUUGCGGCGGCACGGACCUGCCCCUGGCUGGUGAGCAGCGUUUUUACGCAGAGCACCUAUGGAUCACGGCCGGUGACGGGAGGAGGAAGGUACAGGAGUGAACACGACGCCAUCUCGAACUCGUUAGACCUGCACUCAAGGCCUUGGGCGGCCCUAGGUGUGCACUACGAAGCCCAGGUCGCCGCAGAUGCUAAACCCAGCAGGCUCGGGCGCCGGCCCUACCCGGACCCCUGCGGCCCAGGCCCCGCCCCCCCUUGGACGGGGGUGCGGCGUCCACAACGGACGCUAGGAGGCCCACCUGGCGCCUGAGGAGGCAGCGACUUACCGUGAUCACGGCGGGAAUGUUGACGGGAAAAGAGCUGACUGAGAAGGGGGAAGGCAUCGUCCCGGAAAGGCUCCGUCUCACGACCACCGUCAGAAGACAAGGGAGGCCUCUGGUGUUGAUCUCGCGAGAUCUCCACUUGUCGCGAGGCCCGUUUUAUUGGGCCAAGUGGGGAGCGGGCUCCUGUCAUCUCGCGAUAUCUGCCGCGCUCGGUACCAGGUUCACGUCUCGCGGUUGUCUAUGGCGUUAAAAUAAAUAAUGGAACUGCUA